GGCUGAACAAUUAGGGCAAGGCCAGUACCUGCCUCUCUACCUCUACCCCCUCAUGUGUACAGGGUGAGGGAAGGUACAUGCAAUGGUGACUGGGGGUGGAGCCACUGCUGGGCGUGGAGACUGCUGGGAGCGGCAAUCAGCACGGCACACUGACCCUCAGGCUAGGUGGCCUGCUGAGUUUGCCAUGUAACAGUGUGAUGAGUCCAACAACCAGUGACAUAAAAGAACCUACAGAAGUGAAGGAGAUGGAUGGAAAAGCUCAUAUCAAUGCAACAAGACAACGAAAUGCACCAUCCAUGAGAGUGGGAUGUGGGGAGGCAUUCUGGAAAGAAAUUAUUCUUGGAAGCCAGACAGAACAGUAUGAAAUAGAACCAGUGGCAAGAAAGGGAAAUUCUUAGCCCUUUAAAACAGAAUGAGAAGACUGAGCAGAAGAUGUUUACAAGAUAAAGCGAGCCUGUAAAAACAAUUAUAGGAAUUUCAAUUAACCUGAAGUAGAGUGGCAUAAGAUAUCAAAAUAACAUUUCACUGUUCUAAUAAGCAAAUUAAUCCUAUUCCAGAAUUUGCUUCAUUGGACUAACAAGGGCAUAAAUGGUCAUCCCUUUUGACUUGUACUUAACCAGCUUCUCUCAGCAGCCAUAGAGAUCUUAACCUCAGAAUGGAGAUUUCCAAAUAUAAUUCCAAUUAAUAAAUGGCUUAUUUAAUCCCUUUUAAGCAUUUCAGAGAGACUAAUUUCUGAUAUAUUAAAGCAAUACUAGCAGUGUGUUGAAAUCUG